UGCUCAGCAACUCCUAUCCCUACCUCCACGCGGUACCGGCCGGAAACUAUGAGCAACCUUAAGGAAGAUCGGG
rnacentral:ribozyme from 1 species